rnacentral:lncRNA from 1 species
CAUGCAUUUACAUGACUAUUUAUUAACACAUUUACUAAGGGACAGUACUACAGGGUAUUAGAAUGACAUUACAUUUUUCUGUGUUAGGGAGGAGUAAACCACCAGCAACACUCUCAAAACCAGACCGGCCUGAUGAAUAUAGUGCUACUGCAUCUCCACGGCCAGGUUGGUAUAUGGACGUGUAUACAUGCUGACUCUACUGUAAGAAUAUGCCUGUUCCUGAUCAGUGUUAUUGUUUUUCACCAAUUCCAUUCACUUCAGUGAGGGUUCCUUUGCCAGUACCUCCAGAGUUGCUUGAAUUAUCUACAAACAAGACCACAUCGCCUUUGAGACCAGUGCAGGAAACUGUGUUCUGUCAGUCCCUCCUCCCAGUGACCUCUGCACAGUCUACAGCCUCUACUCCUCCCUCAGGACCCCCCGCAGUUGCUGGCCAGUCUUUUUCUGGACUCCCUGCAGCCUCUACUGGGUACCCCUCAACUCAGUUGGAGGAGAAGCAUGCUGUUCCACCACUGCCAAGCUAUGAGCAGGAUGUGAUAAGAUGGCACUGCUCUCAAAAGCAGAGAAUCUGGAUGAAAACAGAUAUGGAAGCCUUGGGACUGUGGCCAGGUUCUAGACCAGUGAGACAUCCAAUGAACAUGAUCUCCUUGUGGCGUUACCCACCUCAGCCUGAGCUUAUUGAUGCUGUCUAUGAGCUGCCAUCACCGAAAUACUUUCAACUUCAUCCAUUCUUCAUUUGGAAACCAGAGCACACCAUUAUGGAAAGAGUCCGCAACAACUACACUCUGCCAUGUCUGUACGGCUGUCCAAAUCCCCACGUUGUCUCAUCAGGAGUUGGACGACCCCGUGUCAUUAUUGGUACAAGCAGCCAGUACUACAUACUGGCCUCUCGGCUCAGCUGUAAAGGCUGUAAAAAGUACUGGUUUGCAGACAAACCCCAAUGGAUGGACAUGCUGCCAAGUCGGUUCUGCAACAUUUUGCCAGCUUUUCUGACACACAAGAAGGCCAUAUGUAAGACUGUAAUGGAUGAGUUGCGGCACACAGCAAAGUCUCCCAAUGAUAUGGCCAAUCAGUUGAAUGAAGCUCUCCACCUGAAGUAUGAGCGUGCACACCUGGCUUACCUGUCCACUGUUAAGAAUGUGCUGGAUGGAGACGGUGGACUUUAUGGUCAGCAGACCAUCACAGGGGCACUAAGAGCAACAAAUACUCACACACACACACACACACACACACAAACAAACAAUAUUUAUUGUGGUUGCUAUAUCCAUCUUUUUCUAAAAGCACACCCAUAUGUAUGUGAACUCAGGUUAUUGCUGUAAAAGAGCUUAAUGUUCAGUCAAUUUUCCCUGAAUAAACAACAGUUGAUAUUUAUAAAUAUUCCAUCCUUUAAUACCAAUCUUUGUUUUGUUAUUUUUUCAUAGAAGUGGAGGAGGGUGAAGAAUUGGGGAGGAUGAUGCUACCCACAUAUUCAUCUAAAAUUCCAGGCCAACUGAGUGAGAACCAUAUACAUGGCACAUACAUGCUCAAACACACAUACACUUCAGUC